GCGCCCGUGGCUCAAUUGGAUAGAGCAUCUGGCUACGGACCAGAAGGUUGCAGGUUCGAGUCCUGCCGGGCGCA
rnacentral:tRNA from 1 species